UGCGGCGUGCCUAAUACAUGCAAGUCGUACGCUUCUUUUUCCUCCGGAGCUUGCUCCACCGGAAAAAGAAGAGUGGCGAACGGGUGAGUAACACGUGGGUAACCUACCCAUCAGAAGGGGAUAACACUUGGAAACAGGUGCUAAUACCGUAUAACAAUCGAAACCGCAUGGUUUUGAUUUGAAAGGCGCUUUCGGGUGUCGCUGAUGGAUGGACCCGCGGUGCAUUAGCUAGUUGGUGAGGUAACGGCUCACCAAGGCUACGAUGCAUAGCCGACCUGAGAGGGUGAUCGGCCACAUUGGGACUGAGACACGGCCCAAACUCCUACGGGAGGCAGCAGUAGGGAAUCUUCGGCAAUGGACGAAAGUCUGACCGAGCAACGCCGCGUGAGUGAAGAAGGUUUUCGGAUCGUAAAACUCUGUUGUUAGAGAAGAACAAGGAUGAGAGUAACCGUUCAUCCCUUGACGGUAUCUAACCAGAAAGCCACGGCUAACUACGUGCCAGCAGCCGCGGUAAUACGUAGGUGGCAAGCGUUGUCCGGAUUUAUUGGGCGUAAAGCGAGCGCAGGCGGUUUCUUAAGUCUGAUGUGAAAGCCCCCGGCUCAACCGGGGAGGGUCAUUGGAAACUGGGAGACUUGAGUGCAGAAGAGGAGAGUGGAAUUCCAUGUGUAGCGGUGAAAUGCGUAGAUAUAUGGAGGAACACCAGUGGCGAAGGCGGCUCUCUGGUCUGUAACUGACGCUGAGGCUCGAAAGCGUGGGGAGCAAACAGGAUUAGAUACCCUGGUAGUCCACGCCGUAAACGAUGAGUGCUAAGUGUUGGAGGGUUUCCGCCCUUCAGUGCUGCAGCUAACGCAUUAAGCACUCCGCCUGGGGAGCACGACCGCAAGGUUGAAACUCAAAGGAAUUGACGGGGGCCCGCACAAGCGGUGGAGCAUGUGGUUUAAUUCGAAGCAACGCGAAGAACCUUACCAGGUCUUGACAUCCUUUGACCACUCUAGAGAUAGAGCUUCCCCUUCGGGGGCAAAGUGACAGGUGGUGCAUGGUUGUCGUCAGCUCGUGUCGUGAGAUGUUGGGUUAAGUCCCGCAACGAGCGCAACCCUUAUUGUUAGUUGCCAUCAUUCAGUUGGGCACUCUAGCAAGACUGCCGGUGACAAACCGGAGGAAGGUGGGGAUGACGUCAAAUCAUCAUGCCCCUUAUGACCUGGGCUACACACGUGCUACAAUGGGAAGUACAACGAGUCGCGAAGUCGCGAGGCUAAGCUAAUCUCUUAAAGCUUCUCUCAGUUCGGAUUGUAGGCUGCAACUCGCCUACAUGAAGCCGGAAUCGCUAGUAAUCGCGGAUCAGCACGCCGCGGUGAAUACGUUCCCGGGCCUUGUACACACCGCCCGUCACACCACGAGAGUUUGUAACACCCGAAGUCGGUGAGGUAACCUUUAGGAGCCAGCCGCCUAAGGUGGGAUAGAUGAUUG
rnacentral:rRNA from 1 species